UAAUUUGAAAAGGGUAUUAAAUUUGGGGAGGAAAAAAAUGUGUUUUUAUUCUAGAAAGCGAUUAGCUUGCGGUAGAGAUUAUGCAACCGGCUGUAUUUAUAUACAUUGCCAUUUAUUUACACCUCGGAAAACAAUAAAUAUUUCUCUUCUUCUUUGCUCUCUCUGUCUCAAACAAUGUCAAUAUUUUCCUUGAAUAAUGCCGCUCCAAGUAAGUAAAUAUUCAUUCCUUAUGCCUUUAAUAUUGUAAACCAGGAAAAGAAAGUACAACACCUUUGCACAAGAGCUCUGGUUUUGUAAAAUAGUGUCAUACAUUGCAACUCCAGAUAUAGAUAGCACAAUACCUGAUGAUGCAAAAAUUCAAUCCAUUUGUGGAGUGCAGACUUAUAAAGAUAAAGGCCAGGACGUGUUGAGGUUUGAGGACUACCAGAUAGGUGAUAAAGGUUAGAAAUGUGGUUCUUCAUUUAGUGUUUCAGGCACACAGGGAUUUGGUGUCAUCGACAACACGAGGCCUUUCAAAUCACCAAUAUUUAACCAAUCAUCUGUUGAUCAACCUUUUUAUUCCCAUUUUUGAAGUACAUUUGCAGUGGAAAGAACAGGGCGUGAUACUCAAUCAAAUGAAAAUUGUAUAGCAACUGCAUCUACCCCAUUUCCGAAGUCACAGCAGUGCAUUUCCCAUACAUUUCCCCCCCAAUACAUCAUUGCUAAACUCUUGUGGCACUGGAAGUGGAGUGGAAUCUACUGCCUCAGAUGUUUCUUUUUUAUCCGUGGAUCCAUUCAGGGCCGUUUGUACCUUUAAAACCAGCUUCCAUUCUUCCACUACCUCCACCUUUUCUCCAUUAAUGAAUCUCCAUGGUCUUUAUCAACAUCUGCCCCUCUAUCUCCAUGUUCAGUCUCACCUUCCACAUAUCCUUUGUUAGCAAAACCAUCCGCCCAAUGCUUUUGAUCAAAUUUCUCCCACUCCUGUUCUAACUACAGGAGGCGCUCCACAAUCCACAUUAUGCUUGAAUUGCCUAAAGCAGUCUCAGCCUUAUCCACCAGGGCUUUGUAAAGUUUCAAGCACUCCACUUGCUGCAAAUCAAAAUACUCCUGUUCUUUGGUCCUCUGGAGCCAGAAAUGACUCCUAAAGUUGGCGCAACACUUGCAACAACCAAUGCUUCUCACCCAUCAACAGGUUAAGUUUCUCUUUUCAAGUUUAGCCAAUCUCUCUCUAUGCUCAAAUCUUCUCUCUUUUAACAUUUGGUCUUAUUUUCUGAGAAUCAUGGAAGUGAAUCCGUCACCAAUUAUGCCUUCUGCUGAAACACAACCUUCAGUCCAAAUCUCGGUUGAGCACCCGAAUUUGGCAACUUCCAUCCAGUAUGGAAUUUCUAGUUAGUUUUACAUUUCUGAACAACUAAUUAUAAUUAAUGCUGCUGCUGGAUGUUUAUAAUUAAUGUUACAUGAUGACCCCCCUAAG